GGGUUGUGAGGUUAAGCGACUAAGCGUACACGGUGGAUGCCCUGGCAGUCAGAGGCGAUGAAGGACGUGCUAAUCUGCGAUAAGCGUCGGUAAGGUGAUAUGAACCGUUAUAACCGGCGAUUUCCGAAUGGGGAAACCCAGUGUGAUUCGUCACACUAUCAUUAACUGAAUCCAUAGGUUAAUGAGGCGAACCGGGGGAACUGAAACAUCUAAGUACCCCGAGGAAAAGAAAUCAACCGAGAUUCCCCCAGUAGCGGCGAGCGAACGGGGAGGAGCCCAGAGCCUGAAUCAGUGUGUGUGUUAGUGGAAGCGUCUGGAAAGGCGCGCGAUACAGGGUGACAGCCCCGUACACAAAAAUGCACAUACUGUGAGCUCGAUGAGUAGGGCGGGACACGUGGUAUCCUGUCUGAAUAUGGGGGGACCAUCCUCCAAGGCUAAAUACUCCUGACUGACCGAUAGUGAACCAGUACCGUGAGGGAAAGGCGAAAAGAACCCCGGCGAGGGGAGUGAAAAAGAACCUGAAACCGUGUACGUACAAGCAGUGGGAGCCUCUUUUAUGGGGUGACUGCGUACCUUUUGUAUAAUGGGUCAGCGACUUAUAUUCUGUAGCAAGGUUAACCGAAUAGGGGAGCCGAAGGGAAACCGAGUCUUAACUGGGCGUUAAGUUGCAGGGUAUAGACCCGAAACCCGGUGAUCUAGCCAUGGGCAGGUUGAAGGUUGGGUAACACUAACUGGAGGACCGAACCGACUAAUGUUGAAAAAUUAGCGGAUGACUUGUGGCUGGGGGUGAAAGGCCAAUCAAACCGGGAGAUAGCUGGUUCUCCCCGAAAGCUAUUUAGGUAGCGCCUCGUGAAUUCAUCUCCGGGGGUAGAGCACUGUUUCGGCAAGGGGGUCAUCCCGACUUACCAACCCGAUGCAAACUGCGAAUACCGGAGAAUGUUAUCACGGGAGACACACGGCGGGUGCUAACGUCCGUCGUGAAGAGGGAAACAACCCAGACCGCCAGCUAAGGUCCCAAAGUCAUGGUUAAGUGGGAAACGAUGUGGGAAGGCCCAGACAGCCAGGAUGUUGGCUUAGAAGCAGCCAUCAUUUAAAGAAAGCGUAAUAGCUCACUGGUCGAGUCGGCCUGCGCGGAAGAUGUAACGGGGCUAAACCAUGCACCGAAGCUGCGGCAGCGACACUGUGUGUUGUUGGGUAGGGGAGCGUUCUGUAAGCCUGUGAAGGUGUACUGUGAGGUAUGCUGGAGGUAUCAGAAGUGCGAAUGCUGACAUAAGUAACGAUAAAGCGGGUGAAAAGCCCGCUCGCCGGAAGACCAAGGGUUCCUGUCCAACGUUAAUCGGGGCAGGGUGAGUCGACCCCUAAGGCGAGGCCGAAAGGCGUAGUCGAUGGGAAACAGGUUAAUAUUCCUGUACUUGGUGUUACUGCGAAGGGGGGACGGAGAAGGCUAUGUUGGCCGGGCGACGGUUGUCCCGGUUUAAGCGUGUAGGCUGGUUUUCCAGGCAAAUCCGGAAAAUCAAGGCUGAGGCGUGAUGACGAGGCACUACGGUGCUGAAGCAACAAAUGCCCUGCUUCCAGGAAAAGCCUCUAAGCAUCAGGUAACAUCAAAUCGUACCCCAAACCGACACAGGUGGUCAGGUAGAGAAUACCAAGGCGCUUGAGAGAACUCGGGUGAAGGAACUAGGCAAAAUGGUGCCGUAACUUCGGGAGAAGGCACGCUGAUAUGUAGGUGAAGCGACUUGCUCGUGGAGCUGAAAUCAGUCGAAGAUACCAGCUGGCUGCAACUGUUUAUUAAAAACACAGCACUGUGCAAACACGAAAGUGGACGUAUACGGUGUGACGCCUGCCCGGUGCCGGAAGGUUAAUUGAUGGGGUCAGCGCAAGCGAAGCUCUUGAUCGAAGCCCCGGUAAACGGCGGCCGUAACUAUAACGGUCCUAAGGUAGCGAAAUUCCUUGUCGGGUAAGUUCCGACCUGCACGAAUGGCGUAAUGAUGGCCAGGCUGUCUCCACCCGAGACUCAGUGAAAUUGAACUCGCUGUGAAGAUGCAGUGUACCCGCGGCAAGACGGAAAGACCCCGUGAACCUUUACUAUAGCUUGACACUGAACAUUGAGCCUUGAUGUGUAGGAUAGGUGGGAGGCUUAGAAGUGUGGACGCCAGUCUGCAUGGAGCCGACCUUGAAAUACCACCCUUUAAUGUUUGAUGUUCUAACGUUGACCCGUAAUCCGGGUUGCGGACAGUGUCUGGUGGGUAGUUUGACUGGGGCGGUCUCCUCCUAAAGAGUAACGGAGGAGCACGAAGGUUGGCUAAUCCUGGUCGGACAUCAGGAGGUUAGUGCAAUGGCAUAAGCCAGCUUGACUGCGAGCGUGACGGCGCGAGCAGGUGCGAAAGCAGGUCAUAGUGAUCCGGUGGUUCUGAAUGGAAGGGCCAUCGCUCAACGGAUAAAAGGUACUCCGGGGAUAACAGGCUGAUACCGCCCAAGAGUUCAUAUCGACGGCGGUGUUUGGCACCUCGAUGUCGGCUCAUCACAUCCUGGGGCUGAAGUAGGUCCCAAGGGUAUGGCUGUUCGCCAUUUAAAGUGGUACGCGAGCUGGGUUUAGAACGUCGUGAGACAGUUCGGUCCCUAUCUGCCGUGGGCGCUGGAGAACUGAGGGGGGCUGCUCCUAGUACGAGAGGACCGGAGUGGACGCAUCACUGGUGUUCGGGUUGUCAUGCCAAUGGCACUGCCCGGUAGCUAAAUGCGGAAGAGAUAAGUGCUGAAAGCAUCUAAGCACGAAACUUGCCCCGAGAUGAGUUCUCCCUGACCCUUUAAGGGUCCUGAAGGAACGUUGAAGACGACGACGUUGAUAGGCCGGGUGUGUAAGCGCAGCGAUGCGUUGAGCUAACCGGUACUAAUGAACCGUGAGGCUUAACCUUACAACGCCGAAG
rnacentral:rRNA from 1 species